CCCCCUGUAGCUCAGAUGGUAGAGCAGCGGCCUUUUAAGCCGACGGUCAUAGGUUCGAUCCCUAUCGGGGGGA
rnacentral:tRNA from 1 species